GAGGUCCCGUCCCGGUAGCCGCUAGCCACGGGCCGGGUAUCGAGCCUUGCAGGUAUAGUGGUAACACUAUGCUUGAUGCGUAGGCGCGAAAGCAGGCGAGGAGCAAUGGUAACGGAUAAUGCCGACCGUGAAGGUUAAGAGUCCCGAAAUGACCGCUUUGGAAUGGGCCGAUGGUUUCAAGACGCCAGCAGGCAACAGCGCAACCCACACUAUGGCAAGUGAGUUGUGCCCACCCGGGAUCGACGACCG
rfam:Candidatus Accumulibacter sp. SK-02 contig000111, whole genome shotgun sequence.